CAGCCGCCGCGGGAAUACGGAGGGAGCUAGCGUUGUUCGGAAUUACUGGGCGUAAAGCGCGCGUAGGCGGUUACUCAAGUCAGAGGUGAAAGCCCGGGGCUCAACCCCGGAACUGCCUUUGAAACUAGGUGACUAGAAUCUUGGAGAGGUCAGUGGAAUUCCGAGUGUAGAGGUGAAAUUCGUAGAUAUUCGGAAGAACACCAGUGGCGAAGGCGACUGACUGGACAAGUAUUGACGCUGAGGUGCGAAAGCGUGGGGAGCAAACAGGAUUAGAUACCCGGGUAGUCCCUGUCUCUUAUAC
rnacentral:rRNA from 1 species